UCGAUAACGAACGAGACCUUAACCUGCUAACUAGUUGCCAGUACGUGAGUAUUGGUAUACUUCUUAGAGGGACUGACUACGUUUAGUAGUCGGAAGUUUGAGGCAAUAACAGGUCUGUGAUGCCCUUAGAUGUUCUGGGCUGCACGCGCGCUACACUGACAAAGCCAGCGAGUACUACCUUGGCCGAGAGGUCUGGGAAAUCUUGUGAAACUUUGUCGUGCUGGGGAUAGAUCAUUGCAAUUAUUGGUCUUGAACGAGGAAUUCCUAGUAAGCGCAUGUCAUCAGCAUGCGUUGAUUACGUCCCUGCCCUUUGUACACACCGCCCGUCGCUACUACCGAUUGAAUGGCUAAA
rnacentral:rRNA from 1 species